rnacentral:rRNA from 1 species
ACGGGUGAGUAAUGCAUCGGGACCUACCCAGACGUGGGGGAUAACCUCGGGAAACCGGGACUAAUACCGCAUACGUCCUACGGGAGAAAGCGGGGGACCUUCGGGCCUCGCGCGGCUGGACGGACCGAUGUGCGAUUAGCUAGUUGGUAGGGUAAUGGCCUACCAAGGCGACGAUCGCUAGCUGGUCUGAGAGGAUGAUCAGCCACACUGGGACUGAGACACGGCCCAGACUCCUACGGGAGGCAGCAGUGGGGAAUAUUGGACAAUGGGCGCAAGCCUGAUCCAGCAAUGCCGCGUGUGUGAAGAAGGCCUUCGGGUUGUAAAGCACUUUUAUCAGGAACGAAAUACCACGGGUUAAUAACCUAUGGGGCUGACGGUACCUGAGGAAUAAGCACCGGCUAACUUCGUGCCAGCAGCCGCGGUAAUACGAAGGGUGCAAGCGUUAAUCGGAAUUACUGGGCGUAAAGGGUGCGUAGGCGGUUCGUUAAGUCUGUCGUGAAAUCCCCGGGCUCAACCUGGGAAUGGCGAUGGAUACUGGCGAGCUAGAGUGUGUCANAGGAUGGUGGAAUUCCCGGUGUAGCGGUGAAAUGCGUANAGAUCGGGAGGAACAUCANUGGCGAAGGCGGCCAUCUGGGACAACACUGACGCUGAANCACGAAAGCGUGGGGAGCAAACAGGAUUANAUACCCUGG